UCGAGCCUAGAUGUCAGAAACAAUUAUUGCUAUCAAUCUUUUUACGUGAGGUGGUCCAUGGUCGCGUAUCACGUAAACUGCAUGCUGUAAAGCACGAUCAUAGCGCUAACUCCGCACAGGUUACAAUUUAACCCGUUGUUUGAUUUACGUAUUUGUGCAAGUCGCAUGUUCAUUUCAAAACUUUAGAAAUAUUGAAAGAUUACGAAAACUCACAGUUGGCAGGACCACCGGGCAUUGUUGGAUUUUUAGCAUUAGUUCGUUUCAAGAGCUUGACGAAU